UUAACUGUUACGUGUCCAUUUCAUAGUACACCGUCGUUUGUCGUUAAGGGAUUCUCCAAAACACUGCCCUCUCUCUCUAGUCUCUCCACUGACACACUGCGUUUUCCCCUUUCAUCCCACACUCUUCUAAUGCUACUACCAUCACCUUAAUUAAUUUGUUUCUGUCUUGUUCUUCAGUCCAUGGCUGUGUUCCUUAGCACCAUCAUCCCGAUUUCCGUGUUUAUGAUUCAGAGUUAGAGAGAGUUUCAACUUUCAACAAUUUGCCGUUGACAUUUUUGAUUUUGGUGUUUGAUAAUGGACGAACCAGGUGACGAAGAAGAGUUCAGGAGGUGCACCCGAAGUGCGUCAGGGGGGUGGAGGUGCAAGGAGAGGGCUAUGCGAGGAAGAAGCUUCUGUGAGAGGCAUUUUCUGUACCAGCAGCAGAGAAAUAGGAGUGCGAAGAAGAAACGUGCUUCUGGGGGUGUUGGUGUGCCCCAGAAAAGAGGAAUGAAACAAAGAAAAAAACCUGAAGGUGAUUUGGAAAAUGGGGUUGUGGGUGCUGGAGUUGUUGGCGCCGAUGGUGAUGGCGCCGAUGGUGAUCACACUGGUGGUCCCCAUGUUGUUGAGGAAUUUGCUGGGCUUUUUGGUGAAGGGCAUGAUGGUGGGGUGAAUCUUGGCUUGGGUUGUGAAAGUUUUGACCUUUGGGGUGAAGUAGAGGGUCAGCAUGUUCAUAUGGGUGGCUUUGGGGGAGGAUGUGGGAAACUGGGUCAGGUUGAAGGGCAGGUUCUAGGUCAGCCAUGGAGCAAUGCAAAUGCUGGUGGUGGGGUUUUUGAUGCUGUUCUGGGAGGUCAUGCAAGUGGAGCUGGUGUGGGUGUUUGUGAAAAUGAUUUUCUGGACCUUUCUUCUGGAGGUCUAGAAGCUGAUUUUGAUAGUCUUUAUGAUCAGGGUUUUCAAGCUCUACUUUGUCAAGGUGGGGGCUGUGAGGAAGAUGUGGGUUUCAUUGGCUCUGAUUGGGCCAUUCCCAACUUUGCAGCUCUCGGUGGUAGCACAGGGUUUCAGGGGUUGAGUGGUGAAAAUGCAUACCAGUUUAGAGGUGAAGAAGUUGCUGGGUGUGUGGGAAAUCCAGGAGGGUAUGGUAAAGUUGAAGAUGACAGUUUUGGUGGCAUAGACGUGCCGGGGUCAAAUAGCAGGCACCAUGGGGAUAAUGCAUCAGAUAGCAAGAUGCUUGUUCUUGGUGUUGAAGAGGGAAUGGAACGAUUGUUAGAUGGAGGACUUGCCAGCAGUGAAGAGGCAAAAGGUGUAGCCUUCAGGCCAGUGGCUAGGAGGGGUAGGCCUAAAGGUUCCAAGAAUAAGGAUAAACAGUUUCACACCACCUUGAACAGACAGAGUGUUGGUGAAAAUGUUAAAGGAGGAACAAAUGGGAUCAGUAGUGUCACAGUUUCAGGGUCUGUCUUUAAAGCUGUUGAUGAAGGUGCAGUCCUGGGUGAGAUUGCGAGGCCAAAGAAGCGUGGUCGACAAAACGGUUUAAAUACAGUGAAUAAUGUCACAAUUUUAGAGUCUGAAAGAUCUGUAUUUUCUGUUGAGGAAGAUAAGGCAGGUGAUGAAGGUGUGGGUCUGGGUGAGAUUGUGAAACCAAAGAAGCUUGGUCGACGAAAGGGUUCAAAUAGGAUAAGUAAUGUCACAGUUUUAGAGUCUGAAAGAUCAUUGUUUUCUGGUGAGGAAGAUAAAGCUGAGGAUGAAGUUGCAGGCCUGGGUGAGAUUGUGAGGCCAAAGAAGCGUGAUCGACCAAAGGGUUCAAAUAGGAUGAGUAUUAUCACAGUUUUAAAGUCUGAAAGGCCAUUGCUUUCUGUUGAGGAAGGUAGUGCCGAUGAUGAAGGUGCAGGCCUAGGUGAGAUUGUGAGGCCAAAGAAGCGUGGUCGACCAAAGGGUUCCAGGAAUAAAAAGAAUAUUUUGCAUGUAAGUAAUAAUGUUGUUGUCAUGUUUGCAGGACCCAAGAAGCUUGGUCGACCAGAAGGUUCAGAAGGAAGAAAGAAGAGUGUAGUGUUGGUUGGUAAUAAGGUUGUUGGUGAGAUUGCAGGACCUAAUAAGUGCGGCAAGACGAAGGGUUCAAAAAAUAAAAUAAAGAAUGUUGUUGAGGUUGGUAAUGAAGUUGCUGGUGCUGGUGAGAUUGCAGGACCUAAGAAACAUGGUCGACCAAGAGGUUCCACAAAGAUAAAGAAGAAUGCUUUGGAGGUUAAUAAUGAAGUUUCUGGUGCUGGUGAGAUCACAGGAUUUAAGAAACGUGGUCGACCAAAAGGUUCAACAAAGAAACGGUAUACUGUUGUGUACGCUUCUAGUAAUGAAGUGGCAUGUGAGGUUGCAAGACAAGAUCUGGAAAACAAAAUGCUGAGCAAUCUGUGUCAAAAAGUUUCUGAUGAACUUGUAAGCAUAAAUAAUAAAUAUGGUCCAGCAAUGAGUACAAGAAGUAACUCGAGGAGUUUUGUAUUUGAGGGUCAGAAGUUUCCAGGGAUGUCUAAUGAUAUUAAUUUAGAAGGUGAUGGUGGAAGCACAAGUGUUUGGUCAAGUGGUUUGGAAAAAGAAAAAGGGAGGUCUCCUAAACCAGUCAAAGAAAUUGAAAACAGUAAGAUUACUUGGCCAAUUGUUAAGCGUGGUCGCCCAAAGGGCUCAAGGAACAAGAAGAUAAAACUAAUAGGUCAGGUCAGGACAAAGCAUGGACGACCAAAGGGAUAUAAAAGUAAGGCUGAAGAAGCUGGAAACAAUUUUGACAAGGGAGGGAAAAAGCGUGGCAGGCCAAAGGGUUCUCAUAGAAAGGAAAAGGAGUCUGCUUACCAUUUUGAUUCACUGAUUGAGAGGCAUGGUCUUGUAGCUGAGAAAGAAGGAGGAACUUCUGCUGAAUCUGCCUCCAAAAAUGAUACUGGUCAAGAGAAAAAAAUUUAUAGCUGUCAAAGAAGUUCUAGAAUUACAAGACAAGCUAUUAAGCAAAGCCAAUCAAGGGGUCUAAAAGAGAAGACACCAGCUGCUGUUACUAUAGCAGAUGAGAAUGAGCCAAAUGGUGUUACUGACAGAUCCAUGACAAAUGCUAGAGGACAAUCCUUACAAAAACAUAAAAGCACUCGUUUCAGCAAAGUUUUGAGUAGGAUUAUGCCACAGAAUGAUUUACAGGAGGAAUGCAUUACACUGCUAGAAGAUCAAGUACAUGAGGUAAAGAAGUCACAUUUUCUUCUUGAAUGCUCAGAGAAUCCCAGAAAUGAAAAUACAAAAAGAACAGGAUUGACUUGUGCAACCAGCAAUGAUCAGAGAAGAUCUAGUGAAAGACUGAAAGCUUUGCUAAUUGAUGGCAAGAAUUUUCAGGGUGUUGGAAGGGAAGAAACUGUAUACCAUGGAUUGGAAUCUUCAGCUUUGAUGUGUGAUAACGGAAAGAAAAAGGAGGCAAGGACUUUAAGGUGCCACCAGUGUUGGCAAAAAAGUAGGAGUGGUAUUGUCAUUUGCACCGAGUGCAAGAGAAAACGAUAUUGUUAUGAGUGCAUUACAAAAUGGUAUCCAGAUAAAACUAGAGAGGAGAUAGAGGUUUCUUGUCCCUUUUGUCUUGGUAAUUGCAACUGUCGAUUGUGCUUGAAGGAGGAGGAUAUAUCUGUGUUGACUGGGACUGGUGAAGCAGAUACAGAUGUCAAAUUACAAAAGUUGUUUUACUUGCUUGACAAAGUUCUGCCUUUACUCCAAAGUAUCCAAUUGGAGCAGAUAUCGGAAUUGAAAGUAGAAGCUAGGAUGCAAGGUUCACAACUGCUGGAAGAGGAAGUUGUGCAUUCACUAAUUGAUGAUGAUGACCGUGUUUAUUGUGACAACUGCAAUACAUCAAUUGUCAAUUUCCACAGAAGUUGUCCCAAUCCUAAUUGUCAGUAUGAUCUCUGUCUCACUUGUUGCAUGGAACUAAGAAAUGAACUUCAUUGUGAAGAAAUUCCUGCUAGUGGAAAUGAAAGAACAGAUGAUACACCACCUGUUACUGCUUGGAGAGCAGAGCUAAAUGGUGGGAUUCCUUGCCCUCCAAAAGCUAGGGGGGGUUGCGGUACUACUAUUCUUUCUCUGAGGCGUCUUUUUGAAGCUAAUUGGGUUCACAAAUUGAUUAAGAACGUGGAGGAACUUACUGUCAAAUAUCAACCACCUAAUAUUGAUCUAUCUCUAGGAUGUUCAAUGUGCCAUAGUUUUGAGGAAGAUGCAGUACAGAAUUCUGUAAGGAAGGCAGCUUCGAGAGAGACCAGUCAUGGUAACUUUUUGUACUGCCCAGAUGCUAUCAAAAUGGAAGACACAGAAUUUGAGCAUUUUCAAAGACACUGGAUAAGAGGUGAACCUGUUAUAGUUAGGAAUGUUUUUGAAAAGGGUAGCGGCCUAAGCUGGCAUCCAAUGGUGAUGUGGAGGGCUUUCAGGGGAGCAAAGAAGAUAUUAAAAGAUGAGGCAGCUACUUUUAAAGCCAUUGACUGCUUAGAUUGGUGUGAGGUUGAAAUUAACAUCUUUCAGUUCUUCAAAGGCUACUUGGAAGGUCGUAGGUACAGGAAUGGAUGGCCAGAGAUGCUAAAGCUAAAGGAUUGGCCUCCAUCAAAUUCUUUUGAAGAGUGUUUGCCAAGACAUGGUGCUGAGUUUAUAGCUAUGCUACCUUUUAGUGACUAUACCCAUCCCAAAUCUGGCGUUUUAAAUCUUGCCACAAAGCUUCCCGCUGUUUUGAAGCCAGAUUUGGGCCCCAAAACAUACAUUGCUUAUGGAUCUUUGGAAGAACUAAGUAGAGGUGAUUCUGUGACAAAACUACAUUGUGACAUUUCAGAUGCGGUCAAUAUUUUGAUACACACAGCUGAAGUAAAGACACCACCAUGGCAGCCAAGAAUCAUAAAAAAAAUUCAGAAAAAGUAUGAAGUGGAAGAUAUGCAUGAGCUCUAUGGCAAGGACAGUAAGGCAAUUGGUUCUUGUAGAAGAAAACGUCAAAAGUGUCAUGUAGGUAUUACCAGGAAUCCUAAAACCCCUGAAAAGGCAGACACUUCUGGGAGAGACUCUACCUUGCCCGGAAGUCAAUUAAAAGAGAAACUUAAUGAACAACAAAGUAGACUCCUAAAUAUGGGGGAGUCAAGAUCAGAUAAGGAAGCUUGUAUUCAAGGACUUUCAGAAUCUGCCAAAAGUAAAUUAAGUUUAAAUGUUGGUGAGCAGGAAGUUCUCAAUUUGAAUUCAAGGCUUCAGGAUUUUGAUCUCAAUAAUCAUGAUUCCAGUUGCAUAAUUCUGGAGAAAGAUAGUAAGUUGAUGCACUAUAAAGUUAAUAAUGUCAAACAGUGGUGCUCAUCAUCAGGUGAAGGAAUUUCUUUACCAGAACAUAUGCAGUUUAAGACAUGCACAAAUGAUGAUUAUGAAAAAGGAAGAAUUUCUGCUAUGCACCUAAUGAAAGAUAAGUUUUGCUCUAUCUAUGACCAAUCUGAUACACGUUCUGUAUUUGAUGAUUUGAACCUCCCCACUCCACAAGCCAGGGUAAAUCAGGAACAUCAGAAAAAUUACAUUGAACAAUCCAGGUUCAAAAGCAGGUGCAUACAUUUUGAGGAGUUACCCUACUACUCUGGGAAGAAUGUUUCUGAUUUACUCUUCCCGCAGGAGCAGUUUUCUCAACACUAUUUUUCUGUUUGUGGGAAUGGGGUUGACAACACUGUUUUGCAAGAUGUGACAGAUACAGGUGGUGACUUCCCUCUUGAUGAAUCAUAUGGACAAGAUCCUGAUAAUGAUAUUGGAGGAUAUCCAAACACCAGUGAAAGCCAUCUGCCUUGUACUUCAACAGAAGAUACUAAAUUUGUCAAUGGAUUGAAUUCUUUAGACACACCAUGUUCAGACAUCAAUGUUGAAAAAAUAGAGUCUGUUAAAAAUGACACAUCAAGCAACAAUUUCUGUCAAAAUGAUGAUCAUUUGGAGACUCAAUAUGGGAGUGCUGUGUGGGACAUAUUCCGGAGGCAGGAUGUACCCAAGCUAACAGAGUACCUAAAGAAACACCACAGAGAGUUUCGCCACAUAAAUAAUCUUCCAGUAAACUCUGUGAUUCAUCCCAUUCAUGAUCAGAUCCUUUAUUUAAAUGAGAAGCAUAAAAAGCAAUUAAAGCAGGAGUUUGGUGUUGAACCUUGGACAUUUGAGCAACACCUUGGGGAUGCUGUUUUCGUACCUGCUGGAUGCCCACAUCAAGUGAGAAAUAGAAAGUCUUGCAUCAAAGUGGCUCUGGACUUCGUUUCACCUGAGAAUGUUCAAGAAUGCAUUCGAUUGACAGAAGAAUUUCGGUUACUUCCCAAAGGCCAUAGAUCCAAGGAAGAUAAAUUGGAGAUAAAGAAGAUGGCACUAUAUGCUGCGGAUGUUGCAAUAACCGAAGCCACUAAACUGAUGAGAGGAAAUGAUUGUUGAACAUAAUGAACAAGCACAAGUCAUUGCCAAUUUCACCAUUGGAGAAAGCAAGGUUCAGAGUCGAAGCUCUGAUACCAUAUUUAGAAGGUGGACUUAAGCCUAAUUCAACCUUACAAGAUGAUUGCUCCCCACUUAUAUAUCUUGACAUUACCUUUAACCAAUGUGAUACUUCAGCAUGCCCCCUCACGGUGGGCUCGGGGUGAUCACAAUCAAGUAUGUCAGAUGAAGCCAAGGAAGUCCCCCAGCAACACAUUUUUACUAAAUGACUCUCAACGAAAGGCUUCUAGUUUAUUUACUCUUGAUUUACAAAGAGCAUAGCUUGUAUUCUGUUCUGUUUUGCACUGUAUCCUUGGCAACUCCAUGGAAGUUUGAAAUGAAUGUUGGUUGUUGCACUAGCACUACACACCAGCGAGAUAUAGAUUAAUGCUAAGUACUUGUAACAACAAUGGAAAAUACUAGGUAGUCGCUAUAAUAUUGGCAUAAUAAAUUGACAUGCAUUUUGACUUUCA